rnacentral:rRNA from 1 species
CGCGUGAGAAUCUGCCUUAAGGAUGGGGACAACAGUUGGAAACGACUGCUAAAACCCAAUAUGGCGAAAGCUGAAAUAUUUAUAGCCUUGAGAGGAGCUCGCGUCCGAUUAGUUAGUUGGUGGUGUAAGAGACUACCAAGGCAGCGAUCGGUAGCUGGUCUGAGAGGAUGAGCAGCCACACUGGGACUGAGACACGGCCCAGACUCCUACGGGAGGCAGCAGUGGGGAAUUUUCCGCAAUGGGCGAAAGCCUGACGGAGCAAUACCGCGUGAGGGAGGAAGGCUUUUGGGUUGUAAACCU